UUAGAUCUCAAAUCAGGCAGGAUUACCCGCUGAACUUAAGCAUAUCAAUAAGCGGAGGAAAAGAAACUAACAAGGAUUCCCCUAGUAGCGGCGAGCGAAGCGGGAAAAGCUCAAAUUUGUAAUCUGGCGUCUACGACGUCCGAGUUGUAAUCUCGAGAAGUGUUUUCCGUGAUAGACCGCAUACAAGUCUCUUGGAACAGAGCGUCAUAGUGGUGAGAACCCAGUACACGAUGCGGAUGCCUAUUACUUUGUGAUACACUUUCGAAGAGUCGAGUUGUUUGGGAAUGCAGCUCAAAUUGGGUGGUAAAUUCCAUCUAAAGCUAAAUAUUGGCGAGAGACCGAUAGCGAACAAGUACCGUGAGGGAAAGAUGAAAAGCACUUUGGAAAGAGAGUUAACAGUACGUGAAAUUGUUGGAAGGGAAACACAUGCAGCCAGACUUGCUAUUCGGGGCAACUCGAUUGGCAGGCCCGCAUCAGUUUUUCGGGGCGGAAAAGCAUAGAGAGAAGGUAGCAAUUUCGGUUGUGUUAUAGCUCUUUAUUGGAUUCGCCCUGGGGGACUGAGGAACGCAGCGUGCUUUUAGCAUAAGCUUCGGCUUAUCCACGCUUAGGAUGCGGGUGUAAUGGCUGUAUAUGACCCGUCUUGAAACACGGACCA
rnacentral:rRNA from 1 species